UACGUAGGGGGCAAGCGUUGUCCGGAAUCAUUGGGCGUAAAGCGCGUGUAGGCGGCCCGGUAAGUCCGCUGUGAAAGUCGGGGGCUCAACCCUCGAAUGCCGGUGGAUACUGUCGGGCUAGAGUCCGGAAGAGGCGAGUGGAAUUCCUGGUGUAGCGGUGAAAUGCGCAGAUAUCAGGAGGAACACCAAUGGCGAAGGCAGCUCGCUGGGACGGUACUGACGCUGAGGCGCGAAAGCGUGGGGAGCAAACAGG
rnacentral:rRNA from 1 species